UCGUGACGUUUAAAUAGUCCUUUGUGGAACUGUCGCGAUUUUAUGACAUCACACCCCAAGCGGCGUACUGGUAUCUGACUCGUUUCGGGUUAACCCUUCGCCAUGAGAGCCAAGUGGAGAAAAAAGCGCAUGCGCAGGCUGAAGCGCAAAAGGAGAAAGAUGAGGCAGAGGUCCAAGUAAGGUGUCCCCUGGAGGAAGUGGAUGUGAUGUUGUCACUUUGCCAGUACUCUGAGGACAUUGGAGAGCCAGGAUGCCUCAUGAUGAAGUGUUGACUGAAUCAGGCACAAGUUGCUGAUCAAGGUGGACUCUGAUUGUUUGUUCCUUUCAACCCUUUUUUUCUCCAAAAUUCAAACUUUUGUUUCUAUGCUUUGAUUAAAGGUUUGUGGGUUUAAAAGUA